rnacentral:rRNA from 1 species
UACAGAGGUCCCAAGCGUUGUUCGGAUUCACUGGGCGUAAAGGGUGCGUAGGUGGUGGGGUAAGUCGGAUGUGAAAUCUCCGAGCUCAACUCGGAAACUGCAUUGGAAACUACCCUGCUAGAGGGUCGGAGGGGGGACUGGAAUACUUGGUGUAGCAGUGAAAUGCGUAGAUAUCAAGUGGAACACCAGUGGCGAAGGCGGCUCACUGGCCCGGUACUGACGCUGAGGUGCGAAAGCGUGGGGAGCAAACAGG